UUAAGCGACUAAGCGUACACGGUGGAUGCCUAGGCAGUCAGAGGCGAUGAAGGGCGUGCUAAUCUGCGAAAAGCGUCGGUAAGGUGAUAUGAACCGUUAUAACCGACGAUACCCGAAUGGGGAAACCCAGUGCAAUUCGUUGCACUAUUGCAUGGUGAAUACAUAGCCAUGCAAGGCGAACCGGGGGAACUGAAACAUCUAAGUACCCCGAGGAAAAGAAAUCAACCGAGAUUCCCCUAGUAGCGGCGAGCGAACGGGGAGGAGCCCAGAACCUGAAUCAGCAUAUGUGUUAGUGGAAGCGUCUGGAAAGUCGCACGGUACAGGGUGAUAGUCCCGUACACAAAAACACACUUGCUGUGAACUCGAUGAGUAGGGCGGGACACGUGACAUCCUGUCUGAAUAUGGGGGGACCAUCCUCCAAGGCUAAAUACUCCUGACUGACCGAUAGUGAACCAGUACCGUGAGGGAAAGGCGAAAAGAACCCCGGCGAGGGGAGUGAAAUAGAACCUGAAACCGUGUACGUACAAGCAGUGGGAGCACCUUCGUGGUGUGACUGCGUACCUUUUGUAUAAUGGGUCAGCGACUUAUAUUUUGUAGCAAGGUUAACCGAAUAGGGGAGCCGUAGGGAAACCGAGUCUUAACUGGGCGUCUAGUUGCAAGGUAUAGACCCGAAACCCGGUGAUCUAGCCAUGGGCAGGUUGAAGGUUGGGUAACACUAACUGGAGGACCGAACCGACUAAUGUUGAAAAAUUAGCGGAUGACUUGUGGCUGGGGGUGAAAGGCCAAUCAAACCGGGAGAUAGCUGGUUCUCCCCGAAAGCUAUUUAGGUAGCGCCUCGUGAACUCAUCUUCGGGGGUAGAGCACUGUUUCGGCUAGGGGGCCAUCCCGGCUUACCAAACCGAUGCAAACUCCGAAUACCGAAGAAUGUUAUCACGGGAGACACACGGCGGGUGCUAACGUCCGUCGUGAAGAGGGAAACAACCCAGACCGCCAGCUAAGGUCCCAAAGUCAUGGUUAAGUGGGAAACGAUGUGGGAAGGCAUAGACAGCCAGGAUGUUGGCUUAGAAGCAGCCAUCAUUUAAAGAAAGCGUAAUAGCUCACUGGUCGAGUCGGCCUGCGCGGAAGAUGUAACGGGGCUAAACCAUGCACCGAAGCUGCGGCAGCGACACUUAGGUGUUGUUGGGUAGGGGAGCGUUCUGUAAGCCGUUGAAGGUGACCUGUGAGGGUUGCUGGAGGUAUCAGAAGUGCGAAUGCUGACAUAAGUAACGAUAAUGCGGGUGAAAAACCCGCACGCCGGAAGACCAAGGGUUCCUGUCCAACGUUAAUCGGGGCAGGGUGAGUCGACCCCUAAGGCGAGGCUGAAAAGCGUAGUCGAUGGGAAACAGGUUAAUAUUCCUGUACUUGGUGUUACUGCGAAGGGGGGACGGAGAAGGCUAGGCUAGCCGGGCGACGGUUGUCCCGGUUUAAGCAUGUAGGCGGAGCGACUUGGUAAAUCCGGUUGCUUAUCAACGCUGAGGUGUGAUGACGAGUCACUACGGUGAUGAAGUAGUUGAUGCCAAGCUUCCAGGAAAAGCCUCUAAGCAUCAGGUAACAUUAAAUCGUACCCCAAACCGACACAGGUGGUCAGGUAGAGAAUACUCAGGCGCUUGAGAGAACUCGGGUGAAGGAACUAGGCAAAAUGGUGCCGUAACUUCGGGAGAAGGCACGCUGGCAUUAGGUAAUGGGACUUGCUCCCGGCGCCGAAGCCAGUCGCAGAUACCAGCUGGCUGCAACUGUUUAAUAAAAACACAGCACUGUGCAAACACGAAAGUGGACGUAUACGGUGUGACGCCUGCCCGGUGCUGGAAGGUUAAUUGAUGGGGUCAGCCGCAAGGCGAAGCUCUUGAUCGAAGCCCCAGUAAACGGCGGCCGUAACUAUAACGGUCCUAAGGUAGCGAAAUUCCUUGUCGGGUAAGUUCCGACCUGCACGAAUGGCGUAAUGAUGGCCAGGCUGUCUCCACCCGAGACUCAGUGAAAUUGAACUCGCUGUGAAGAUGCAGUGUACCCGCGGCAAGACGGAAAGACCCCGUGAACCUUUACUAUAGCUUGACACUGAACAUUGAGCCUUGAUGUGUAGGAUAGGUGGGAGGCAUUGAAGUGUGGACGCCAGUCUGCAUGGAGCCAACCUUGAAAUACCACCCUUUAAUGUUUGAUGUUCUAACUCGGCCCCGUAAUCCGGGGUGAGGACAGUGUCUGGUGGGUAGUUUGACUGGGGCGGUCUCCUCCCAAAGAGUAACGGAGGAGCACGAAGGUUAGCUAAUCACGGUCGGACAUCGUGAGGUUAGUGCAAAGGCAUAAGCUAGCUUGACUGCGAGAGUGACGGCUCGAGCAGGUACGAAAGUAGGUCUUAGUGAUCCGGUGGUUCUGAAUGGAAGGGCCAUCGCUCAACGGAUAAAAGGUACUCCGGGGAUAACAGGCUGAUACCGCCCAAGAGUUCAUAUCGACGGCGGUGUUUGGCACCUCGAUGUCGGCUCAUCACAUCCUGGGGCUGAAGUAGGUCCCAAGGGUAUGGCUGUUCGCCAUUUAAAGUGGUACGCGAGCUGGGUUUAGAACGUCGUGAGACAGUUCGGUCCCUAUCUGCCGUGGGCGUUGGAAGAUUGAGAGGGGCUGCUCCUAGUACGAGAGGACCGGAGUGGACGAAUCACUGGUGUUCGGGUUGUCAUGCCAAUGGCAUUGCCCGGUAGCUAAAUUCGGAAGAGAUAACCGCUGAAAGCAUCUAAGCGGGAAACUUGCCUCGAGAUGAGUCUUCCCUGGGGCUUUAAGCCCCCUGAAGGAACGUUAAAGACUAUGACGUUGAUAGGCUGGGUGUGUAAGUGCAGCGAUGCAUUGAGCUAACCAGUACUAAUGAUCCGUGAGGCUUAACCUU
rnacentral:rRNA from 2 species